rnacentral:rRNA from 1 species
GACGAACGCUGGCGGCGUGCUUAACACAUGCAAGUCGAACGGAAAGGCCCUGAGUUUGUGGGGUGCUCGAGUGGCGAACGGGUGAGUGACACGUGAGUAACCCGCCCUUAACUUUGGGAUAAAUUCACGAAACUGGGGCGAAUACCGGAGAGGAGCUCCUGCUGCAUGGGGGGGGUUGGAGAGAUUCGGCGGUUGGGGAUCGACUCGCGGCUUAUCAGCUUGUUUGUGGGGUAGUGGCUUACCAAGGUUUUGACGGGUAGCCGGCCUGAGCGGGUGAGCGGCCACAUUGGGACUGAGGGACGGCCGAGACUCCUACGGGAGGCAGCAGUGGGGAAUAUUGCACAAGGGGCGGAAGCCUGAUGCAGCAACGCCGCGUGCGGGAUGACGGCCUUCUGGUUGUAGACCGCUUUCGCCUGUGACGAAGCGUGAGUGACGGGAAUGGGUAAAGAAGCACCGGCUAACUACGUG